CGCGGCUGCCUCGGGUGUGUAGUCACUCUGUGUCUGCCGCGCAUCGCGCUCCACCUCUCCCGGAAGACUAGGGUGCUGGGCGGGCUCUAACCGGGGAUUAUCCCUGGGGGCAUAAAGAAGUGAAAGAGCUCCCUGGAGAGGAAACUGGCGUUUCCAGUCUGGCAGGAAGAGAGGGAAAGGCGAAGUUUACGAGCCACGAUUGGUCGCGCCUGGUCGCGCCUCCUAUGACGUCAGAGACAGAAACCAAUGGGAGUCCAAGGAUUUAACCUGAUGUCUCAAGCUCUUCAUCAGCAAAAACGUUUUAUGGCAGGCAGAAGGGCCACCUGAAAGAGACUUCUGCCACAUCGAAGCACGGAAGCUACAGGCAUUUGACCUGCAAGCCAGGGAGACACCAUGAUUGGAGGCUUCAAGCCAGGCUUGACAGCACCUAAACCACAAGACUGAAAACCAAACCCCAGAGGGGACAAGAGCACCUCUGAAUUCGUGCGGGACCAGAGAUGUGAGGACCAGACAUCUCCUGCUUCUCCUUGUCCUGGCACCUUACACAUUCCCUAACCAGACACAGUCCUGAGGAAGAGCGCUGGCCUCCCGUGAUAAGAUUAUUGUCACUGGCAGCUAAGUGGGGCUUAAAGUAGAAAUAAAGUUCAGUUACAGAAUAAAAGUUCCAUUUG